rnacentral:misc_RNA from 1 species
AAUUACGUCUCAAUCCCAAUAAUGGCUCGAGAAGAACAUCUUCUAUCAACGGAGAUUGUGAACCGAGGGAUAUCGGAUGAGGGAUCACAAACGUUCUCCGUUAGGGUACGGAGGCGUUUGCCGGAUUUCUUGCAAUCGGUUAACUUAAAAUAUGUGAAGUUAGGGUACCAUUACUUGAUAAAACAUGGGAUAUAUUUGGCUAUAUUGCCAGUGUUGGUGUUGGUUUUCAGUGCUGAAAUUGGGAGUCUAAGUAGAGAGGAGCUGUGGAGGAGAGUUUGGGAUAGCACAACACGUUAUGAUUUGGCUACAGUGUUGUCAUUUGUGGCACUUUUUGUCUUCACUAUCUCUCUUUAUAUCAUGUCUAAGCCAAAACCUAUUUACCUUCUUGAUUUUGCAUGUUACAAGCCAAGUGAUGAUCUUAAGGUAACAAAGGAGCAAUUCAUCGAGUUAGCACGAAAUUCGGGCAAAUUCGAUGAAUCUAGUCUGGAAUUUAAAAAGAGAAUUCUAGAAUGUUCUGGAAUAGGGGACGAGAGUUACGUCCCGAGAUCCAUUGGAUCGUCAGAAAACACAGCUACGAUGAAAGAAGGACGAUACGAGGCAUCAACGGUGAUGUUCGGAGCUCUGGAUGAACUGUUCGAGAAGGCGAAAAUUCGGCCUAAGGACGUCGGAGUAUUGGUGGUGAAUUGCAGUAUUUUCAACCCAACACCAUCACUUUCAGCCAUGAUCAUAAAUCACUAUAAAAUGAGGGGAAAUAUACUUAGUUUCAAUUUAGGUGGAAUGGGUUGUAGCGCUGGGAUAAUAGCAUUAGAUUUGGCACGUGACAUGUUACAAGCUAACCCUAAUAAUUAUGCCAUCGUAGUUAGUGGUGAGAUGGUUGGAUAUAAUUGGUACCCUGGCAAACAGCGAUCGAUGCUUAUUCCAAAUUGCUUUUUUCGAAUGGGUUGCUCCGCCCUCCUCCUCUCCAAUCGUCGUCGCGAUUACCACCGUGCUAAGUACAGCCUCGAACAUAUCGUCAGGACACAUAAAGCUUCCAAUGAUCGCGCAUUCAGGUGCAUUUAUCAAGAAGAAGAUAGCGAGCAUUACAAGGGGCUAAAGAUAAGCAAAGAUUUAGUAGAAGUUGGAGGAGAUGCAUUGAAGACUAAUAUUACUACAUUAGGCCCUUUGGUUCUACCUUUAUCAGAACAAUUAUUCUUCUUUGGAAACUUAGUUUGGAGGCAUUUAUUUGGCAAUAAAAAUGCCAAAACAAAUAAUUCCCAGCAGGCCAAUAAUAUUAAGCCCUAUAUUCCAGACUACAAACUUGCCUUUGAGCACUUCUGUGUCUAUGCAGCCAGCAAAACUGUCCUUGAUGAGCUUCAAAGAAACCUAGAGUUGAGUGAGGAAAAUAUGGAAGCAUCUCGCGCUACACUCCAUCGAUUUGGUAACACGUCUAGUAGUAGCAUUUGGUACGAGUUGGCUUAUUUGGAGGCUAAGGAGAAAAUCAGAAGGGGUGAUCGUGUGUGGCAAAUUGCAUUUGGGUCGGGUUUUAAGUGUAACAGUGCUGUUUGGAAAGCUAUUCGUCGCGUUAAGAAGCCUUCAACGAACCCUUGGCUUGGUUGUGUUGAUAGGUAUCCAGAGUCUCUCACACAAUAAACGUGAGUUUAAUUUUAUGAUUAAUUUGGAGUUUGGGAGAUUCGAUGGGAAUUUAUGAAUGACUAUAUAAAUGUAUGUAUAGUCUAAAAGUAUUGAUAUUAUAAUUAAGUUAAGUUGAUUUAUGGAAAUUAAGGUACUUAUUUUAUUAGAAUAUUGACCUUGAUCACAUGGAUUGUUGAUGAAAUUUAAGUGUUCCAAGUUUAACAAACAUAUAUAGGUCCCUUCUUUAAUUUCUUGUCCUCCAUAAUUUGUGAAAUAAAUGUAUUAUGAAUAUUUUAUAUUGGUG